UCGUAACAAGGUCUCCGUAGGUGAACCUGCGGAGGGAUCAUUACACAAUAUGAAGGCGGGCUGGAUCCCUCCUGCUGGGCACUGCUUCACGGCGUGCGCAGUAGGGGCCGGCCCUGCUGAACUAUUCACCCGUGUCUUUUGCGUACCUCUUGUUUCCUGGGCGGGCUCGCCCGCCACCAGGACCAACCAUAAACCUUUUUGUAAUAGCAAUCCGCGUCAGUAACAACGUAAUUAAUUACAACUUUCAACAACGGAUCUCUUGGUUCUGGCAUCGAUGAAGAACGCAGCGAAAUGCGAUACGUAGUGUGAAUUGCAGAAUUCAGUGAAUCAUCGAAUCUUUGAACGCACAUUGCGCCCUUUGGUAUUCCAAAGGGCAUGCCUGUUCGAGCGUCAUUUGUACCCUCAAGCUUUGCUUGGUGUUGGGCGUCUUUGUCUCCAGCUUGCUGGAGACUCGCCUUAAAGUCAUUGGCAGCCGGCCUACUGGUUUCGGAGCGCAGCACAAGUCGCGCUCUUCAUCCAGCCAAGGUCAGCGUCCAGCAAGCCUUUUUUCAACCUUUGACCUCGGAUCAGGUAGGGAUACCCGCUGAACCUAAGCAUAUC
rnacentral:misc_RNA from 1 species